UACGUAGGGUGCAAGCGUUGUCCGGAAUUAUUGGGCGUAAAGAGCUCGUAGGCGGUUUGUUGCGUCGGCUGUGAAAUCCCGAGGCUCAACCUCGGGUCUGCAGUCGAUACGAGCAAACUAGAGUGUUGCAGGGGAGACUGGAAUUCCUGGUGUAGCGGUGGAAAUGCGCAGAUAUCAGGAGGAACACCGGUGGCGAAGGCGGGUCUCUGGGCAACACUGACGCUGGAGGAGCGAAAGCGUGGGGAGCGAACAGG
rnacentral:rRNA from 1 species